CAGGCUUAACACAUGCAAGUCGAGGGGCAGCAUGGUCUUAGCUUGCUAAGGCCGAUGGCGACCGGCGCACGGGUGAGUAACACGUAUCCAACCUGCCGUCUACUCUUGGACAGCCUUCUGAAAGGAAGAUUAAUACAAGAUGGCAUCAUGAGUCCGCAUGUUCACAUGAUUAAAGGUAUUCCGGUAGACGAUGGGGAUGCGUUCCAUUAGAUAGUAGGCGGGGUAACGGCCCACCUAGUCUUCGAUGGAUAGGGGUUCUGAGAGGAAGGUCCCCCACAUUGGAACUGAGACACGGUCCAAACUCCUACGGGAGGCAGCAGUGAGGAAUAUUGGUCAAUGGGCGAGAGCCUGAACCAGCCAAGUAGCGUGAAGGAUGACUGCCCUAUGGGUUGUAAACUUCUUUUAUAAAGGAAUAAAGUCGGGUAUGGAUACCCGUUUGCAUGUACUUUAUGAAUAAGGAUCGGCUAACUCCGUGCCAGCAGCCGCGGUAAUACGGAGGAUCCGAGCGUUAUCCGGAUUUAUUGGGUUUAAAGGGAGCGUAGAUGGAUGUUUAAGUCAGUUGUGAAAGUUUGCGGCUCAACCGUAAAAUUGCAGUUGAUACUGGAUAUCUUGAGUGCAGUUGAGGCAGGCGGAAUUCGUGGUGUAGCGGUGAAAUGCUUAGAUAUCACGAAGAACUCCGAUUGCGAAGGCAGCCUGCUAAGCUGCAACUGACAUUGAGGCUCGAAAGUGUGGGGUAUCAAACAGGAUUAGAUACCCUGGUAGUCCACACGGUAAACGAUGAAUACUCGCUGUUUGCGAUAUACUGCAAGCGGCCAAGCGAAAGCGUUAAGUAUUCCACCUGGGGAGUACGCCGGCAACGGUGAAACUCAAAGGAAUUGACGGGGGCCCGCACAAGCGGAGGAACAUGUGGUUUAAUUCGAUGAUACGCGAGGAACCUUACCCGGGCUCAAAUUGCAGAUGAAUUACGGUGAAAGCCGUAAGCCGCAAGGCAUCUGUGAAGGUGCUGCAUGGUUGUCGUCAGCUCGUGCCGUGAGGUGUCGGCUUAAGUGCCAUAACGAGCGCAACCCUUGUUGUCAGUUACUAACAGGUUCCGCUGAGGACUCUGACAAGACUGCCAUCGUAAGAUGUGAGGAAGGUGGGGAUGACGUCAAAUCAGCACGGCCCUUACGUCCGGGGCUACACACGUGUUACAAUGGGGGGUACAGAGGGCCGCUACCACGCGAGUGGAUGCCAAUCCCCAAAACCUCUCUCAGUUCGGACUGGAGUCUGCAACCCGACUCCACGAAGCUGGAUUCGCUAGUAAUCGCGCACCAGCCACGGCGCGGUGAAUACGUUCCCGGGCCUUGUACACACCGCCCGUCAAGCCAUGGGAGCCGGGGGUACCUGAAGUGCGUAACCGCGAGGAGCGCCCUAGGGUAAAACUGGUGACUGG
rnacentral:rRNA from 1 species